AUGCACGGUGCACCCCGGGUUUCUCUGAAGAGACCUGUGACGAUCGAAGCCCCAAUGCUUGUGCGGGAUUAAGCUUCCGUUCCGUGUUGCAGGUCUGUUGAUGAAAUCCCACCACUCGUCUGUGUCAAAGUGACGGCCAAAUUU
rfam:Musa acuminata subsp. malaccensis Doubled-haploid Pahang (DH-Pahang) genomic chromosome, chr3